UUGAAAUCGAUCUUUACACAAAUAAAGGAUGUUUAGAGGUGCAGCUCGUGGCGGAACUUCUUUUGGAAUGUACUAGGCUCUUGAACGACGUGAUGGUGACAAUCAGAACUAUCUUGGAAAAAGGUGUUUGCAGAGCUGUUACAAAUACCAAUGAGAAGGUCGCUGAAGCUCUAGUUAGUACUAAUCCAACACUGCCGUCCCAGAUCGACCAGGCUAUGAUAGAUUUGGAGAAGACUGAAAAUGAGGUUGAACUUGGCGCAAAUGCUAUACUAGCUGUUCUGAUUGUUUUCUGUCACCACCUUCACAGAGAAAAUCAAUUGAGGAGUCGUGCCAACCAGCUCUAAUACCUAUCAUCAUUUAAAGGCUAUUAUUAUCGGAAAGUAUGGAAGAAAUGGGUGCAAUGUUGAUGAAGCUGGUGGAUUUGCCUUAAAUAUGCCAAGUUUCACUAAAGGCUCAAACCUCGUCAAGGAACCAAUUGACAGAGGAGAUUACAGUGAUAGAAUUAAGAUAGCAAUGGAUGUUGCGGCUACUGAUUUUUGCGUUGUUGGAGUCUUGGAGAUGACUUGUUGAUGUCAAACCUGAAACGUACUGAGAAAGCAAUAGAUGAAAUCACUUGCAACAUGCUCGUCUUAAAGGUGAAUCAGAUUGGGACUGUUACUGAAAUCAUCGAAGCUGUGAAGCUAGCUAAGAAUGCCAACUGGGGAGUAGUAACUUCCCAAAGAUGUGGAGAAACUGAAUAUUCCUUCAUAGUUGAAGCUGAUUUAUCUGUGGUCCUGCCCACCAGUCAGAUCACCUAGCCAGGGGUGAACAGCUUGCUAAUAUAACCAGUUGCUUUGGAUUGAAGAAGAGCUAGGUGAUCAAGCGGUUUAAGUGGGGUGCUGUAUCCACUUUUCUAUAGGUGGUCGCUAAGAGUAGGAAACAUUAAACAGAUGGAUGAGGUUGGUUCUUGUCUGAUGCAUGAAAGGAUAAUUAUCAUAAUAGAAGUCACAAAUAACAGAUGAACAGAAGCAGAAUAGCAGUACUGUUUUCUUUUUCAAUACCUGUCCUACUUCCUUUUUUUCCCUUAUAAAAAAAAGAUGAAGAAAAUGAUUAACACAAAAACAUGCUCCUAUGGUAUAACUUCGAACUGAAGGCAAUAAAAAGCAAUGAGAGUAAUGGAGGGAAGAUAUGGAAUUCGCAGCCUUGCAGAUGUUGUUUUGUUGACAAUGAUCAAAUAACUACAGGACGGCCCAAGGCUCUGAAAGGCUUAUUAUCCCCUCUGGAUGGCAACAACCGUUGGCAUUGGGUUUGUCCAAGCAGGAGUUUGACUUAAACUGUCCUGAGAAGUACACUCACCGACUUGGAUCCGUUUUGUUUACGGCACAAGAAUUGCACACAAGCCUGUUUUGCUGGAUGUGCACUUGA